rnacentral:rRNA from 1 species
GACGAACGCUGGCGGCGUGCUUAACACAUGCAAGUCGAACGGUAAGGCUCCAGCUUGCUGGGGUACACGAGUGGCGAACGGGUGAGUAACACGUGGGUGACCUGCCCUGCACUUCGGGAUAAGCCUGGGAAACUGGGUCUAAUACCGGAUAGGACCAUGGUGUGGAUACUGUGGUGGAAAGUUUUUUCGGUGUGGGAUGGGCCCGCGGCCUAUCAGCUUGUUGGUGGGGUAAUGGCCUACCGAGGCGGCGACGGGUAGCCGGCCUGAGAGGGUGGACGGCCACAUUGGGACUGAGACACGGCCCAGACUCCUACGGGAGGCAGCAGUGGGGAAUAUUGCACAAUGGGCGGAAGCCUGAUGCAGCGACGCCGCGUGGGGGAUGACGGCCUUCGGGUUGUAAACUCCUUUCACCAUCGACGAAGGGUUUCUGACGGUAGAUGGAGAAGAAGCACCGGCUAACUACGUG